rnacentral:rRNA from 1 species
CGCUGGCGGCGUGCUUAACACAUGCAAGUCGAACGGAAAGGCCCUGCUUUUGUGGGGUGCUCGAGUGGCGAACGGGUGAGUAACACGUGAGUAACCUGCCCUUGACUUUGGGAUAACUUCAGGAAACUGGGGCUAAUACCGGAUAGGAGCUCCUGCUGCAUGGUGGGGGUUGGAAAGUUUCGGCGGUUGGGGAUGGACUCGCGGCUUAUCAGCUUGUUGGUGGGGUAGUGGCUUACCAAGGCUUUGACGGGUAGCCGGCCUGAGAGGGUGACCGGCCACAUUGGGACUGAGAUACGGCCCAGACUCCUACGGGAGGCAGCAGUGGGGAAUAUUGCACAAUGGGCGGAAGCCUGAUGCAGCAACGCCGCGUGCGGGAUGACGGCCUUCGGGUUGUAAACCGCUUUCGCCUGUGACGAAGCGUGAGUGACGGUAAUGGGUAAAGAAGCACCGGCUAACUACGUGCCAGCAGCCGCGGUGAUACGUAGGGUGCGAGCGUUGUCCGGAUUUAUUGGGCGUAAAGGGCUCGUAGGUGGUUGAUCGCGUCGGAAGUGUAAUCUUGGGGCUUAACCCUGAGCGUGCUUUCGAUACGGGUUGACUUGAGGAAGGUAGGGGAGAAUGGAAUUCCUGGUGGAGCGGUGGAAUGCGCAGAUAUCAGGAGGAACACCAGUGGCGAAGGCGGUUCUCUGGGCCUUUCCUGACGCUGAGGAGCGAAAGCGUGGGGAGCGAACAGGCUUAGAUACCCUGGUAGUCCACGCUGUAAACGGUGGGUACUAGGUGUGGGGUCCAUUCCACGGGUUCCGUGCCGUAGCUAACGCUUUAAGUACCCCGCCUGGGGAGUACGGCCGCAAGGCUAAAACUCAAAGGAAUUGACGGGGCCCCGCACAAGCGGCGGAGCAUGCGGAUUAAUUCGAUGCAACGCGUAGAACCUUACCUGGGUUUGACAUGGAUCGGGAGUGCUCAGAGAUGGGUGUGCCUCUUUUGGGGUCGGUUCACAGGUGGUGCAUGGCUGUCGUCAGCUCGUGUCGUGAGAUGUUGGGUUAAGUCCCGCAACGAGCGCAACCCUUGUUCACUGUUGCCAGCACGUUAUGGUGGGGACUCAGUGGAGACCGCCGGGGUCAACUCGGAGGAAGGUGGGGAUGACGUCAAGUCAUCAUGCCCCUUAUGUCCAGGGCUUCACGCAUGCUACAAUGGCUGGUACAGAGAGUGGCGAGCCUGUGAGGGUGAGCGAAUCUCGGAAAGCCGGUCUCAGUUCGGAUUGGGGUCUGCAACUCGACCUCAUGAAGUCGGAGUCGCUAGUAAUCGCAGAUCAGCAACGCUGCGGUGAAUACGUUCCCGGGGCUUGUACACACCGCCCGUCAAGUCAUGAAAGUUGGUAACACCCGAAGCCGGUGGCCUAACCGUUGUGGGGGAGCCGUCGAAGGUGGGACUGGU